rnacentral:rRNA from 1 species
GACGAACGCUGGCGGCGUGCUUAACACAUGCAAGUCGAACGGAAAGGCCCUGCUUUUGUGGGGUGCUCGAGUGGCGAACGGGUGAGUAACACGUGAGUAACCUGCUCUUGACUUUGGGAUAACUUCAGGAAACUGGGGCUAAUACCGGAUAGGAGCUCCUGCUGCAUGGUGGGGGUUGGAAAGUUUCGGCGGUUGGGGAUGGACUCGCGGCUUAUCAGCUUGUUGGUGGGGUAGUGGCUUACCAAGGCUUUGACGGGUAGCCGGCCUGUGAGGGUGACCGGCCACAUUGGGACUGAGGUACGGCCCAGACUCCUACGGGAGGCAGCAGUGGGGAAUAUUGCACAAUGGGCGGAAGCCUGAUGCAGCAACGCCGCGUGCGUGAUGACGGCCUUCGGGUUGUAAACCGCUUUCGCCUGUGACGAAGCGUGAGUGACGGUAAUGGGUAAAGAAGCACCGGCUAACUACGUG